CUCACUUUCUCCUGCCCUUAGAAUGAGGGUUACAAUACUGGCCUCCAUGGUUCUCAGACCUCAAGACUGAGUCACAACCCCAACUUUUCUGGGCUCUAGCUUGCAGGAGGCAUAUCCCAGAUCUCUCUCCCUUCAGUCACAUGGGCCAGCCCCACACAGUAAGUGUCCUAUGUUUCUCUGUGGAGAACCCUGACUAACACGGUGCAUAGCAUUAGACUGGGGUAUUAGGUCGUAUGUAGGUGACCUCCCUGGCUACCUUCUUGUGGUUGUAUGGUUACCAUGUCUCGUUGCACAACUUAUAAUGACUAUAUGGAGUUGUGUCUGGGCAUGGAUAAGACCUGCAAACUUGGAUAGUUCCUCUUUGUCAGCCCUUUGCCAGGUCUUCAGCAGUCAAGUCAUGACAUGUCAUGUCAGUCUCAUGAUCCACAGAUGUACACUGCCAUUCACAUUGCUCUUUCACUGUGACUUUACAGCACUGGGGUUUCUCAUGCUACGCACUGUCAACAGCCUACAUCAAGGGCCUAAGGAACUGUUCCUUUCAAAGUCUGCUACAUACUGCCAAGAUGGAGUAUUUCCUAGAAGAUGUAGGUUGGAUCUUGUAACAUCUUUGCUCAGUCAAAAAGGAAAAGUGAAGCUUGGAGACAUUUUGUGGAAGACACUCACAUGUAGCUGGUAUAGGAACCCAAGUUGGUUGCAGCAGAACCUAAAAAUCUACAACUGUGUGGACUUCUAUUAUUGUUACACGUUGUGGAAUGUGGCUAAUUGGGCACACUGUUGUAUGGUCACUUCCCGUUCUUAUGAAUACCAGCUUCCUCCUUGUCAAAGUUUCAGCUUCCUCAGAAGUGCCAACACUCCAAAUGAAUGCAUACAAGCCCUGUUAGUGAAAUCUGUCAGUGUCUGCAAAUGAAAAUACUUAGAUGACUGAGCUAAAACAGGUGGUCUUGAGAUUCUGUCUACACAAGCUUUGGAGGACUCAUCCUUGGUCAUUUGUGGUCACUUUUGUGACCAUGUUCCAGAGUGAAUUUUAAGAAGAGAGAGCUAGGACUCUGAAAUACUUUCCACAUACCAUUUGGCAAGAAAAUCAUUGUUGGGGUCACCUGGACUUUAAAUGUGGCCAGUUCCUCCUCUUGGGAAAUUUGCAGUAUUUACCUCUCAGGACUUGAUCUCCUUGAUUACCACAAGCUCAGCACGUAUGAUCAAGUGGAACUGAACAACUCCACAAACAGCUUCUUCCCCUUUAUGCAGGCGUGCACCAAGCACUAAUUUAAUUGGUCAGAAGGCCCUUUCAAAAGGCUCAGAGAUAGCCCUUUGUUUCAGCUCAAGUCUGCCACCUUGUGGACAGUGCUGUUUUUAAAUUAUUUCUCAACUUUUUUCCUUUCUAAAAAUUUAUUUUUCAUUUUAU
rnacentral:lncRNA from 1 species